rnacentral:rRNA from 1 species
UACGUAGGUGGCAAGCGUUGUCCGGAAUUAUUGGGCGUAAAGCGCGUGUAGGCGGCCAGAUAAGUCCGCUGUGAAAUCUCGAGGCUCAACUUCGAGCUGUCGGUGGAAACUGUCUGGCUAGAGUCCGGAAGAGGAGAAUGGAAUUCCUGGUGUAGCGGUGAAAUGCGCAGAUAUCAGGAAGAACACCCGUGGCGAAGGCGGUUCUCUGGGACGGUACUGACGCUAAGACGCGAAAGCGUGGGGAGCGAACGAGG